GAUGAACGCUGGCGGCGUGCCUAAUACAUGCAAGUCGAGCGAACGGACGAGAAGCUUGCUUCUCUGAUGUUAGCGGCGGACGGGUGAGUAACACGUGGAUAACCUACCUAUAAGACUGGGAUAACUUCGGGAAACCGGAGCUAAUACCGGAUAAUAUUUUGAACCGCAUGGUUCAAAAGUGAAAGACGGUCUUGCUGUCACUUAUAGAUGGAUCCGCGCUGCAUUAGCUAGUUGGUAAGGUAACGGCUUACCAAGGCAACGAUGCAUAGCCGACCUGAGAGGGUGAUCGGCCACACUGGAACUGAGACACGGUCCAGACUCCUACGGGAGGCAGCAGUAGGGAAUCUUCCGCAAUGGGCGAAAGCCUGACGGAGCAACGCCGCGUGAGUGAUGAAGGUCUUCGGAUCGUAAAACUCUGUUAUUAGGGAAGAACAUAUGUGUAAGUAACUGUGCACAUCUCGACGGUACCUAAUCAGAAAGCCACGGCUAACUACGUA
rnacentral:rRNA from 1 species